rnacentral:rRNA from 1 species
GAAUCUUGGACAAUGGGGGCAACCCUGAUCCAGCCAUGCCGCGUGAGCGAUGAAGGCCCUAGGGUUGUAAAGCUCUUUCACCCGUGAAGAUAAUGACGGUAGCGGGAGCAGCAGCCCCGGCUAACCCCGUCCCAGCAGCCGCGGUAAUACGGAGGGGGCUAGCGUUGUUCGGAAUUACUGGGCGUAAAGCGCGCGUAGGCGGACGGUCAAGUCGGGGGUGAAAUCCCGGGGCUCAACCCCGGAACUGCCUCCGAUACUGGCGGUCUGGAGGACGGAAGAGGCGAGUGGAAUGCCGAGUGUAGAGGUGAAAUUCGUAGAUAUUCGGCGGAACACCAGUGGCGAAGGCGGCUCGCUGGUCCGUUUCUGACGCUGAGGCGCGAAAGCGUGGGGAGCGAACAGG